UACGUAGGGUGCAAGCGUUGUCCGGAAUUAUUGGGCGUAAAGAGCUCGUAGGCGGUCUGUCGCGUCUGCUGUGAAACUCAGGGCUUAACCCUGAGCUUGCAGUGGGUACGGGCAGACUAGAGUGCGGUAGGGGAGACUGGAAUUCCUGGUGUAGCGGUGAAAUGCGUAGAUAUCGGAAGGAACACCAGUGGCGAAAGCGGCUUCCUGGUCCAGCACCGACGUUCAGGCACGAAAGCAUGGGGAGCGAACAGG
rnacentral:rRNA from 1 species